GAUGAACGCUGGCGGCGUGCCUAACACAUGCAAGUCGAACGAAGCACCUUACCUGAUUCUUCGGAUGAAAGUUUGGUGACUGAGUGGCGGACGGGUGAGUAACGCGUGGGUAACCUGCCCUGUACAGGGGGAUAACAGCUGGAAACGGCUGCUAAUACCGCAUAAGCGCACGAGGAGACAUCUCCUUGUGUGAAAAACUCCGGUGGUACAGGAUGGGCCCGCGUCUGAUUAGCUGGUUGGCAGGGUAACGGCCUACCAAGGCAACGAUCAGUAGCCGGUCUGAGAGGAUGAACGGCCACAUUGGAACUGAGACACGGUCCAAACUCCUACGGGAGGCAGCAGUGGGGAAUAUUGCACAAUGGGGGAAACCCUGAUGCAGCAACGCCGCGUGAGUGAAGAAGUAUUUCGGUAUGUAAAGCUCUAUCAGCAGGGAAGAUAAUGACGGUACCUGACGAAGAAGCUCCGGCUAAAUACGUG
rnacentral:rRNA from 1 species